rfam:Peptostreptococcaceae bacterium oral taxon 113 str. W5053 genomic scaffold Scaffold82, whole genome shotgun sequence.
CAAGUCGUGAGGCUUGGGCGAGAAGAAGGGAUAGCGAAAUCGUAGCCUGACGAACAGAAACCUAAUACCAAGGCACAUAUGGCGGAUAAGUGGGCUGACAGUCACGAAGUCCAAAAGGCAAUCGUAACCUAUAUGUGUAGAUUAGGCAGGUAGACGAGGAAAGAGGGACGA